GAAAUGUUUUGAGCACCGAUAUGGUGCCACUUGUGGAAAAUUCUAUUUCUUACCUCGCGUGAUGGGUCACAGUCCAAACACAAUCCAAACUUUGUUUCAUGAACAAAAUUAUUUAAGAAUACCAUAUAAAAUUGCCUUCUGGCUAUGUGUAUAAGAUACAUGUGAAAUAUAAAUGAAUUUCAUGUUUAGACUUGGGUCCUAUCCCCAAUAUAUCUCAUUAUGUAUAUGCAAAUAUUCCCAAAUCUGAAUAAAUGCCAAAUUCAAAAGACUUCUGGUCCCAAGCAUUUUGGAUAAGGGAUACUCAACCUGUACCUUCUCCCUGAAGCCUUCUGUACUAUCUCUCAUUGUAAGGAAUCCCAACCGCCACUGCCUUCCAAAUGUUCCUCUGUCAUAGCACUUGGUCUGGCCAGUCUUGUGUUAGUUCUUGCUGAUAGAUUUUCCUUCCCCAUUAUGCUGUGAGUUCCUGACAGCCAGAACCUCUGCCUGCUUUGUGUUUAUAACCUAGAGAGAUAAACUGAGUGGCAGAAUAACUUCAUGGAGCCCUUGGGGUUGAUGGUGUCCUACUUUAAUCUUUCACAGGGACCUGGAAUAUUUAUGGCAACCUGGGCAGGAGGCAGGGCUGGGACAAGGAUGAGGCUGCCACCAGUGCACCAUUGACAGAACUACCCAGAAACCAGCUGGCAAGAGGGCCUCGCCAUCCCUGCAAGACACAGCAGAGCACGGGAAAGGUGGGGAAUGAAUGGCAAAUGAGAAGCCCACAGUUAGUAGCUGAGGCUUUCAAAUAAGAGCAUUGUUGAUCCGAUGCUAAAAGAGGACAUCACCACAUGAAUAUAUUGGAGACAAAAAAUUGAUAGGCUAGGUAUUUCUUAGGUCAAGCAAUAUUCUGUCUAGCAAGACAACUAUGAGUUCAUAGCACAAUCAUAGAUUUUACUUCUGCUUAGCAAUCAUGUCUGUUUUGGUUUGUUUAUUUGACUGUGUUUCAUAUCCUUGGGCUGUCUGUCCUUUCUCUUUUAACCUAGAACCCUGGGG
rnacentral:lncRNA from 1 species